UACGUAGGGUGCAAGCGUUGUCCGGAAUUAUUGGGCGUAAAGGGCUCGUAGGCGGUCCAUCGCGUCGGGAGUGAAAAGCUGGGGCUUAACCCCAGUCCUGCUUCCGAUACGGGUGGACUAGAGGUAGGUAGGGGAGAUCGGAAUUCCCGGUGUAGCGGUGAAAUGCGCAGAUAUCGGGAGGAACACCAAUGGCGAAGGCAGCUCGCUGGGACGGUACUGACGCUGAGACGCGAAAGCGUGGGGAGCAAACAGG
rnacentral:rRNA from 1 species